GCUCCGUAGGGCUUGGGGCUCGCACGCUGACGAGCCGUCGGGCAGAAACGGAGG
rnacentral:hammerhead_ribozyme from 2 species